rnacentral:rRNA from 1 species
AACGAACGCUGGCUGCAUGCCUAACACAUGCAAGUCUAACGAGAUCUUCGGGUCUAGUGGCGCACGGGUGCGUAACGCGUGGGAAUCUGCCCUUUGGUUCGGAAUAACAGUUGGAAACGACUGCUAUUACCGGAUGAUGACGAAAGUCCAAAGAUUUAUCGCCAGAGGAUGAGCCCGCGUAGGAUUAGCUAGUUGGUGUGGUAAAGGCGCACCCAGGCGACGAUACUUAACUUGGCUGAGAGGAUGAUCAGCCAUACUGGGACUGAGACAAGGCACAGACUCCUACGGGAGGCAGCAGUGGGGAAUAUUGGACAAUGGGCGAAAGCCUGGUCCAGCAAUGCCGCGUGAGUGAUGAAGGCCUUAGGGUUGUAAAGCUCUUUUACCCGGGAUGAUAAUGACAGUACCGGGAGAAUAAGCUCCGGCUAACUCCGUGCCAGCCGCCGCAGUAA